rnacentral:rRNA from 1 species
AUUGAACGCUGGCGGCAGGCCUAACACAUGCAAGUCGAACGGUAACAGGAAGCAGCUUGCUGCUUUGCUGACGAGUGGCGGACGGGUGAGUAAUGUCUGGGAAACUGCCUGAUGGAGGGGGAUAACUACUGGAAACGGUAGCUAAUACCGCAUAACGUCGCAAGACCAAAGAGGGGGACCUUCGGGCCUCUUGCCAUCGGAUGUGCCCAGAUGGGAUUAGCUAGUAGGUGGGGUAAAGGCUCACCUAGGCGACGAUCCCUAGCUGGUCUGAGAGGGUGACCAGCCACACUGGAACUGAGACACGGUCCAGACUCCUACGGGAGGCAGCAGUGGGGAAUAUUGCACAAUGGGCGCAAGCCUGAUGCAGCCAUGCCGCGUGUAUGAAGAAGGCCUUCGGGUUGUAAAGUACUUUCAGCGGGGAGGAAGGGAGUAAAGUUAAUACCUUUGCUCAUUGACGUUACCCGCAGAAGAAGCACCGGCUAACUCCGUGCCAGCAGCCGCGGUAAUACGGAGGGUGCAAGCGUUAAUCGGAAUUACUGGGCGUAAAGCGCACGCAGGCGGUUUGUUAAGUCAGAUGUGAAAUCCCCGGGCUCAACCUGGGAACUGCAUCUGAUACUGGCAAGCUUGAGUCUCGUAGAGGGGGGUAGAAUUCCAGGUGUAGCGGUGAAAUGCGUAGAGAUCUGGAGGAAUACCGGUGGCGAAGGCGGCCCCCUGGACGAAGACUGACGCUCAGGUGCGAAAGCGUGGGGAGCAAACAGG